rnacentral:lncRNA from 1 species
GUCUUUCCUGUAAAAGUGAUGUUUUCGUAAUGUUCUUUGUACGACCUUUCGUUUGAUAUACGACAAGCAUACCUUUUGAAACUUUUCGCUUUUUUACACUUAAUGACCUCAUCCGCCUACAUUUUUUGAGAUCGGAAGUAUGAUAUAUGUAACACAGGGUAGAUGAGCUUUCAUUUGAUAUGCGACAACGCCAUGUUCUAAAAAGUUUGAUUUUUGCACUUAAUAACCACAUCCAACCAAUUUUUGGAGGUUUGGAAUUUGAUAUUUCAAAUGUACACAUCAUGACCUUUCAUUUGAUAUACAACAACCCUAUCGUAAAAGAAAAUUUAUUUUUUUGCACUCAAUGACCC